UACAGAGGUCCCGAGCGUUGUCCGGAAUCACUGGGCGUAAAGGGUGCGUAGGCGGGUCUUAAGUCAGGGGUGAAAUCCUGGAGCUCAACUCCAGAACUGCCUUUGAUACUGAGGAUCUUGAGUUCGGGAGAGGUGAGUGGAACUGCGAGUGUAGAGGUGAAAUUCGUAGAUAUUCGCAAGAACACCAGUGGCGAAGGCGGCUCACUGGCCCGGUACUGACGCUGAGGUGCGAAAGCGUGGGGAGCAAACAGGG
rnacentral:rRNA from 1 species